UAUUUAUCUAUCUAUCUAUCUAUCUAUCUAUAUAUGCAUACACCUGUGUGUGUGUAUAUAUGUAUUAUUUGUGUGCGUGUCAUCAGAAAAAGGAGAGGAGGAGAGGUAUAAUAAGUAAAGAGAACUUGAUGCGUGUAUACAGGUGUACAGAUUAGUAUGUUCAAUUAAGCUCGCUUCUUCGUGGUUAUUGUUCAUAAAUCUCUGUGAGACAGUGAAAUUAUGAAUGUCCUACCGUAUGGGCUUACACGCACAACCGCACUCACACACACACAAGCACGCUAAACACACAUAUUUACUUGACAAGGUGAACACGGAUGCCAGCUUUAAUCUACCUGUGUCUCUACCCCCUCCUCCCUCUCUCUUUUCUUUCAUCCUUUCAUCUCUUUAAGUCCUUCUUUCAUCUUCUUACCCUCUCCUUCUGUCUCUCUCUCUCUUUCAUACACAUGCACACUCACAAAUUCACGCACACACGCAUUAUGCAUGUUACGUGUUGAUCGAACUGUGGAUAUAUUACAUACAAAACUUCAUUUAAAUCCAUCUACAGCCAUCAGAGAAACUAACGGUAUUUUAAAAACAAAGCCGACAUGUAACGGACAAGAACCAUUUCCAACAUAGUCUUGCAAGGACGUGAGAAUUCAAAUGGUUCAAUGAGUUUCGCAUUUUCGCAUUCAAUCUGAUUCGAAUGAGCAUGCAAUCAGCUUGCACUUGCACUCUAUAGAUGCUGUCAACGUGCAUUGGAAAAGCAAUAUUCACGCAAACGUACGUAUGUGAAAAGAGCUGUCGACACUUCCUCCCUCGUACCUCGGAUGGAAUCAUAAAGCUGGAAUGUUAACAAGAGUCUUUUGAUAACUUUUGAGGUCUUAAACAAAAAGCGACAUUGUUAUCCAAACGACAGCGGAAAGCCGUUUAAAAGAGGUUGAGCCUGCGUUUUUCUUUUUUCCUGGAAGUCAAAACAAUAAUCACCUUUUACAAGAGUUGCUGUCAAUGAUAAGAUGAACCAGAUGUGAGUUGAUGGAGUACUCAUGCCUCACCUGGGACUAUACAAACUUCUUUCUCAAGGAGUUCAAUUCUAAACAGACACCAGAGACUGUCUCAUAUUCCACUCCUGAAUGAUGACCGACGAGAGCAAACCAAUGUUGGAGACUAACGCUGAUUGCAAU